AAUGUUUUUCACUUAAUUAAAUGAUUAAAUGGAAAAAAAAAAAAAUCUUUUCUUAUCAGUUUAAUAUCUGAUAUGUCCUCUAUAUGAGGACUACAUAUUAAACGGAUUUUUGACCGUGGGAGUCGGAACAGGGGCUUGCUCCAUCCGCUCCAUGAAUCAGCCCGGUAUUGCAGUACUUCUGGGAAUGGUGCACCUCUU